UACGGAGGGUGCGAGCGUUAAUCGGAAUUACUGGGCGUAAAGGGUGCGUAGGUGGUUUGAUAAGUUAUCUGUAAAAGCCCUGGGCUCAACCUGGGAAGGCCAGAUAAAACUGUUGAACUGGAGUAUGGGAGAGGGUAGUGGAAUUUCCGGUGUAGCGGUGAAAUGCGUAGAGAUCGGAAGGAACACCAGUGGCGAAGGCGGCUACCUGGCCUGAUACUGACACUGAAGCACGAAAGCGUGGGGAGCAAACAGG
rnacentral:rRNA from 2 species